rnacentral:tRNA from 3 species
CGGCCUGUAGCUCAGUUAGAGCCGGCCGCUCAUAACGGUCUGGUUGCAGGUUCGAGUCCUGCCGGGCCCACCA